UGGGGAAUUUUGGACAAUGGGGGCAACCCUGAUCCAGCAAUGCCGCGUGUGUGAAGAAGGCCUUCGGGUUGUAAAGCACUUUUGUCCGGGAAGAAAUCGCACCUGAUAAUACCGGGUGUGGAUGACGGUACCGGAAGAAUAAGGACCGGCUAACUACGUGCCAGCAGCCGCGGUAAUACGUAGGGUCCAAGCGUUAAUCGGAAUUACUGGGCGUAAAGCGUGCGCAGGCGGUUGUGCAAGACCGAUGUGAAAUCCCCGGGCUUAACCUGGGAAUUGCAUUGGUGACUGCACGGCUAGAGUGUGUCAGAGGGGGGUAGAAUUCCACGUGUAGCAGUGAAAUGCGUAGGGAUGUGGAGGAAUACCGAUGGCGAAGGCAGCCCCCUGGGAUAACACUGACGCUCAUGCACGAAAGCGUGGGGAGCAAACAGG
rnacentral:rRNA from 1 species